GCCUGGGUGGCUCAGUCGGUUGAGCAUCUGACUUCGACUCAGGUCAUGAUCUCGCAGUUUGUGAGUUCGAGCCCCGCAUCGGGCU
rnacentral:tRNA from 1 species